rnacentral:rRNA from 1 species
AAUAGAUACCCUGGUAGUCCACGCCGUAAACGUUGGACACUAGGUGUGGCGGUCUGAUCAACGACUGCCGUGCCGAAGCUAACGCAUUAAGUGUCCCGCCUAGGGAGUACGGCCGCAAGGCUAAAACUCAAAGGAAUUGACGGGUCCCCGCACAAGCGGCGGAGCAUGCGGCUUAAUUCGAUGCAACCCGAAGAACCUUACCUGGGUUUGACAUCAUGGGAAAAGCCGUGGAAACACGGUGUCCGUAAGGGCCCAUGACAGGUGGUGCAUGGCUGUCGUCAGCUCGUGUCGUGAGAUGUUGGGUUAAGUCCCGCAACGAGCGCAACCCUUGUCCUAUGUUGCAGCGGUUCGGCCGGGGACUCAUGGGAGACUGCCGGGGAUAACUCGGAGGAAGGUGAGGACGAUGUCAAGUCAUCAUGCCCCCUUAUAUCCAGGGCUGCACGCAUGCUACAAUGGUCGGUACAACGGGCAGCGAUCCUGCGAAGGUGAGCGAAUCCCACAAAGCCGGCCUCAGUUCGGAUUGGAGU